UACGUAGGGUGCAAGCGUUAAUCGGAAUUACUGGGCGUAAAGCGUGCGCAGGCGGCUUUGCAAGACAGAUGUGAAAUCCCCGGGCUUAACCUGGGAACUGCAUUUGUGACUGGCGUGCUGGAGUGUGGCAGAGGGAGGUGGAAUUCCACGUGUAGCAGUGAAAUGCGUAGAGAUGUGGAGGAACACCGAUGGCGAAGGCAGCCUCCUGGGCCAGCACUGACGCUCAUGCACGAAAGCGUGGGGAGCAAACAGG
rnacentral:rRNA from 1 species